AUUGAACGCUGGCGGCAGGCCUAACACAUGCAAGUCGAACGGCUGCACAGUACUUGCUCGUGGUUUCAGGGGGCGACUGGUGGGUGAUUCCUAGAAAUCUCCGUGUUUGCUUUUUCUUGCGUCCUAACACGGGGACUCUUACCCCAUUACUCCUGACGGCGAACGUGGGGGAGCUUCGGAUCUUCCGCCCUCGCGCGAUUCUAUGUCGGAUUAGCUAGUUGGCUGGUUAAAGGCCUACCAAGGCGACGAUCCGUAACUGGUCUGAGAGGAUGAUCAGUCACACUGGAACUGAGACACGGUCCAGACUCCUACGGGAGGCAGCAGUGGGGAAUAUUGGACAAUGGGCGCAAGCCUGAUCCAGCCAUGCCGCGUGUGUGAAGAAGGUCUUCGGAUUGUAAAGCACUUUUGGUGGGGAAGAAGAGCAGCAGGUUAAUACCCCGCUGUUUUGACGGUACCAAAAGAAUAAGCACCGGCUAACUUCGUG
rnacentral:rRNA from 1 species